rnacentral:rRNA from 1 species
GGUUGAUCCUGCCAGUAGUUAUAUGCUUGUUUCGAAGAUUAAGCCAUGCAAGUCAAAGUUCACGAAAGGAAACUGCAGAAUGCUCAUUACAAUAAAGAAUGCGAAACCUGGAGAGGUAUGGAUAACCUAGGUAAUUCUUAGGCUAAUACAAGAUUGUAGUAUCCGCUUUGGAUACUGCAGAAGUCCUUUAAUGGCAUCCAGGGCAGUUCUUUAAUCUAUCAACUGUCGAUGGUGGAGUCUUGGUUCACCAUGGUAACAACGGGUAACGGGGAAUUAGGGUUUGAUUCCGGAG